rnacentral:rRNA from 1 species
ACGGAAGGCAGCAGUGGGGAAUAUUGGGCAAUGGGGGAAACCCUGACCCAGCAACGCCGCGUGAAGGAAGAAGGCUUUCGGGUUGUAAACUUCUUUUAUCAGGGAAGAUAAUGACGGUACCUGAUGAAUAAGCCACGGCUAACUACGUGCCAGCAGCCGCGGUAAUACGUAGGUGGCAAGCGUUAUCCGGAUUUACUGGGUGUAAAGGGCGCGUAGGCGGGGAUGCAAGUCAGAUGUGAAAUCCAUGGGCUCAACCCAUGAACUGCAUUUGAAACUGUAUCUCUUGAGUGUCGGAGAGGUAGACGGAAUUCCUAGUGUAGCGGUGAAAUGCGUAGAUAUUAGGAGGAACACCAGUGGCGAAGGCGGUCUACUGGACGAUAACUGACGCUGGGGCGCGAAAGCGUGGGGAGCAAACAGGAUUAGAUACCCUGGUA